GCCACUGUAGCUCAGCGGUAGAAAGAGCGACGGUUUCGUAAACCGUAGGCCGGGGGUUCGAGACCCUCCAGUGGCUCCA
rnacentral:tRNA from 1 species